UACGUAGGGGGGCUAGCGUUGUCCGGAAUCAUUGGGCGUAAAGAGCGUGUAGGCGGCCCGGUAAGUCCGCUGUGAAAGUCGGGGGCUCAACCCUCGAAUGCCGGUGGAUACUGUCGGGCUAGAGUGCGGAAGAGGCGAGUGGAAUUCCUGGUGUAGCGGUGAAAUGCGCAGAUAUCAGGAGGAACACCGAUUGCGAAGGCAGCUCGCUGGGACGUGAACUGACGCUGAGACGCGAAAGCGUGGGGAGCAAACAGG
rnacentral:rRNA from 1 species